CCCACGCUGUCCACCCAUCCGUCAUGUAGCCUAGGUUUACUGGUGCACAGUCGCAGCAUUACCAUUAAGGGAACCCUUCUUUUGCUUAAUAAUGCCCGCAAAUGGAACAGUAGCAAAUGCAGAGUCGGGACCAGAGCAUAAAACAUGGACGGGCAAGAUCCUGCCUCUGACACAGGGCUCUCAGAGAAAAACAAACAAAAAUCUCUUCUGUGCGGGGUUUGGCGCCAUCUGCUGGAAGUCCUGGAUUGCGUGGGUUGAUAGGCUGGUGUAGAAUAGAGAAUGGCAGACUUCUGCAGGACAGGUGACCGGAAAUGCUGUGAUUAUACCGGCCGCAGAAGGGGGCCGUCACCGACUCAGUCAUCGUGGUGCUGAGUUGAAGAAUAAACAGAAUGCAGUUCUCGGGAAAGACAGGGGUCUGACUCGGAACUGCGUGGCAAGAUACACAAAGACAACCAUCCCUGGAGCCGAGGGCUACCAGGAAGGCUGAGGAGGCUAAGAACUCUGGUUACACACGGUUCUCCCCGUGAGAUAAUUGGCUCUCCUGCGGCUUGCUGUCUCUACCUCCAGAUGGAAACACAGCUGAACAGAAGGAUGCGAUCACAAUGACUGGAAGGAACUCAAGCAGCCAUCUUGGAUCAUGAUGCACUGUGGCAGGCCAGCAAGAAUUCCAAGUUCCUAAGACUGUGAUGUUGCUACAGACCUUCGUUUACACAAGAGAUAAAUAUUUAACAGAGACCUUUGGACCUUUCUGUCACCUCAGCCAAAGGUGUUUGCAGGGUGAGCAAGACAUAUCCAACGGACCAGUUCACAACCCGUCGUGUGCAUCUGUCUCAGCUGGAGUGUGGCUUCUGUGCUCAUGGAUGCUGCCCAGCAAAUGGAGUAGACUGGCUGCUGGGGUUCUCCACGGGAGACGUGUGAAUGGAUGGAAAUAAUAACACCAUAAGCCUUGGAAUUUGCUCGAGCACCAAGAAAUAAAAUGUCUGCUCACACAAAA